rnacentral:lncRNA from 1 species
CCAGUCUUGUAACUUCAGCUUAGACUUAGGCCUGGCCUUGCCUCAUUAUUGAAGCUACAUUCUCUUCCUUAAUCCCAAAAGUCAAAUAUACUACAUGAAUAGACUAAUACUACGACUGGUAUAGACGUAUGGUGCUUUAGACUCCUCUAAGUGAAAGACUAUAUAAAUAUGAUAAUACUAAGAAAAUGUUUGACUGCCUACAUUACUUUUUAUGUAUAUAAUAGUAGAUGUUGAAUUUCUUGGCUUCUUGGUGUUUGUUUGCAAUAAAUUUUAAAGUGAUAGAAAAUAAAUUGCAAUCACAAAUAAAAUAUGAAAAAAACAUGAUUUUAUUGAUAAAUGGUGUGGGUAUACAAUCCUGUCGAUUCCUCGAUUCUUCUCUCAUGAUAAGAUCUCUCCAUGAUUCGAGGAUCGUUAGUGGCGUAUUUUUUGAACUAAGAUGAUUUGAAUUUGAUCUCCUUAUUAUUCAAGAUGUCUAUGAAUAUAAUACCCUUUAUAUAGGCAUGAAUUAGGGUUUAGGUUGACUAGCCUCCAAAAUCCUAAUUGAAAUUUAACACACCGUGUACAGUCCCACUAAAUUUUAAUAAUAUGGAUUAAUCUAGUAAACAACAAACCUCUAUCAUGGCUUUUGAGAAAUAAUAUUAAAUAUUUUCACAAUACUUACUCUACAAUUGUGAUUCUUUUUUACUCAUUAGUUUAUAGAACUUAAACUCGUAAUGAUUUUUGCAAUAUAAAAAUCAUGAGAAUGAGUUUUUAUCCAAUUGUGGUUUGUGGAUACUUGUUCUUUACAUACUUAACAGGAGAAUUUCAAAGAUAAUCAUACAAUUUUCAAUAAUUGUAAUAGUGGCUCCGCCCUUACAUAAGUUUGUACUUAUUUAGACUAUUUUUUUAACACAAAUAAUAUUUGACUCGACACUACUGAAUUCAACUUAAUCUAUGGUAGAUUUGCCCCCAUAUAUGGGAGUAUGUUGUUGACCUCAUAGGUAAUGAAGGAAGACAUUUAUUUACAUGGACGAUUUUUGUAUGUUUUUUUGUUGGUAAGAUAGGAAAGAAUUAGUUUUGUAGCCUAUUUAUAAUUCUUUUUAGUUUUAUAUUCUUUUUAUAAGGGGAUUUUAAAAAAUAUUAUUUUAUGCAUUUUAUAAGUGGUCAAUAAAUUUAAACACAUUAAGUUGUUUGGUUAGGAA